AACGAACGCUGGCGGCAUGCCUAACACAUGCAAGUCGAACGAACCCUUCGGGGUUAGUGGCGCACGGGUGCGUAACGCGUGGGAAUCUGCCCUUUGCUUCGGAAUAACAGUUAGAAAUGACUGCUAAUACCGGAUGAUGUCUUCGGACCAAAGAUUUAUCGGCAAGGGAUGAGCCCGCGUAGGAUUAGGUAGUUGGUGGGGUAAAGGCCUACCAAGCCGACGAUCCUUAGCUGGUCUGAGAGGAUGAUCAGCCACACUGGGACUGAGACACGGCCCAGACUCCUACGGGCGGCAGCAGUGGGGAAUAUUGGACAAUGGGCGCAAGCUUGAUCCAGCAAUGCCGCGUGAGUGAUGAAGGCCUUCGGGUCGUAAAGCUCUUUUACCAGGGAUGAUAAUGACAGUACCUGGAGAAUAAGCUCCGGCUAACUCCGUGCCAGCCGCCGCAGUAAUAC
rnacentral:rRNA from 1 species